GGUUUUUGAGAUACUUUGCUCAGUAAGUGUGAAGAUGUUUUCCUGCAUUUGGAAAAAACAAAAGAAAAGCCCUCCAGGGGAUGUACGCUCUGGAGAUGGUGAUAGCGCAAGUCUGCAGAAGAGGCUACAGAGAGAGGCAUGGUCUCCCAUUUCCACCACAACCCCUGAUACCAGCGAGGCUCCCAGGACUAAAAAAACCUCCUUCUGGCAACGCUGGUCUCUUCAUAACAAGGUAUGUAUAGCAGAGCUGAUCAUUUUAAUUAAUAAGCAGCAAAGAAAAGUGGUUGUAAUUUAUGAGUGUCAGCACAGUCUGAGCUCAUCUGUGUGGAUUUAGAAGAAAAAGCAGACCCAUCUCCCACAAAAUGUGGACAGGGUCACAAUCCUGUCACCCUCUGUGACAGAAAGGAGGUAAAACAGCAGUUUUCAUCAACAG